CAUGAAUACUUCUGGAGCUAUAUAUCCUGGAGUCCCUCUCGCACCCAGCACUGAGACUACACUUUCCUUUCUCUUGCAUAGCUUUGCAAGACCAAAGUCUGAGAUUUUUGGGCAAAAAUCUUCAUCUAGGAGAACAUUUUGAGGUUUUAUGUCAAAAUGCACGAUCCUGGUAUUACAGCCACGAUGUAAGUAUUCUAGACCUCUAGCAAUGCCAAUUGCAAUAUCAUGUAAUAUUUUCUGCUCUAACCGGCAUUUGUUAUGCUCAGAACAUUGAUCAUUUAUGAACUUAUCUAGAGAUCCAUUUGGCAUGUAUUCAUAGAUCAAUGCUCUUUUAGUCCUUUCGUAGCAAAACCCCAAAAGGGAAACUAUGUUUACAUGGGAGGUUCUACUAAUACUUGCAACUUCGUUAAUAAAUUCUUCUCCAUUAGGUGUAGCCUUAUUUAGGACUUUUACUGCAACAAAACGACCAUCUGGUGACUUUCCUUUGUAGACACCUCCAAAUCCCCCUUCACCUAGCUUAUACUCGAAUGAGUUUGUCAUUUUCUCUAUAUCUGAAUAUGAAUAUUGCUUUGGCAUGAGACAAUUAUAGUUCAUAAUGAAUGCCUCCAUCUUUUCUUGUUUUGCAUUCUUCCAUUGUAAUGUCAUUGCUUUGCCACUGCAAAUUACAUGUCUUUUGAAACAAUAGUAGCAUCCUAAAAAAAUGGAGAUAGCAGUGGCAGCUGCCAUUGCAAUCCCUGUAAUGGCACAAAUAUUGCUAUGUUAUUAAUAUUGCUCAAAAUUAAAGAAAUUCUAAUGUGUGUUGUAGAAGAGCAUAAUUGUACCUAUUUUAAGUGAAACUUUACGAGAUUUGCCCCCUGCAAUUAUCAUGAGAUCCAAAAAGAUUAAUCAUACGUGAAUGACCAUUUUAAAAUAAAUUUGCACUUUUUUGCUUCAAAAUAUAUACAUUGGAAAUUCCUAAAAUAGAUAGAGGCUGCCUGGUUUUGAAUUCUUGACCUUUUGCACCACAAGACAAAUAUUUGAUCGCUGGACUACUAGUAUAGUGGUAGGCAUGUAUGCUUAAAACUUUAAAAUUGUUAAUAUAGCACAUAUUUGAUUCACAAAAUUUUUCAUAUUAUCACCUAAUGUGG
rnacentral:misc_RNA from 1 species